AGAGUUUGAUCAUGGCUCAGAUUGAACGCUGGCGGCAGGCCUAACACAUGCAAGUCGAGCGGUAGCACAGAGAGCUUGCUCUCGGGUGACGAGCGGCGGACGGGUGAGUAAUGUCUGGGAAACUGCCUGAUGGAGGGGGAUAACUACUGGAAACGGUAGCUAAUACCGCAUAACGUCGCAAGACCAAAGUGGGGGACCUUCGGGCCUCAUGCCAUCAGAUGUGCCCAGAUGGGAUUAGCUAGUAGGUGGGGUAACGGCUCACCUAGGCGACGAUCCCUAGCUGGUCUGAGAGGAUGACCAGCCACACUGGAACUGAGACACGGUCCAGACUCCUACGGGAGGCAGCAGUGGGGAAUAUUGCACAAUGGGCGCAAGCCUGAUGCAGCCAUGCCGCGUGUGUGAAGAAGGCCUUCGGGUUGUAAAGCACUUUCAGCGGGGAGGAAGGCGAUAAGGUUAAUAACCUUGUCGAUUGACGUUACCCGCAGAAGAAGCACCGGCUAACUCCGUGCCAGCAGCCGCGGUAAUACGGAGGGUGCAAGCGUUAAUCGGAAUUACUGGGCGUAAAGCGCACGCAGGCGGUCUGUCAAGUCGGAUGUGAAAUCCCCGGGCUUAACCUGGGAACUGCAUUCGAAACUGGCAGGCUAGAGUCUUGUAGAGGGGGGUAGAAUUCUAGGUGUAGCGGUGAAAUGCGUAGAGAUCUGGAGGAAUACCGGUGGCGAAGGCGGCCCCCUGGACAAAGACUGACGCUCAGGUGCGAAAGCGUGGGGAGCAAACAGGAUUAGAUACCCUGGUAGUCCACGCCGUAAACGAUGUCGAUUUGGAGGUUGUGCCCUUGAGGCGUGGCUUCCGGAGCUAACGCGUUAAAUCGACCGCCUGGGGAGUACGGCCGCAAGGUUAAAACUCAAAUGAAUUGACGGGGGCCCGCACAAGCGGUGGAGCAUGUGGUUUAAUUCGAUGCAACGCGAAGAACCUUACCUGGUCUUGACAUCCACAGAACUUUCCAGAGAUGGAUUGGUGCCUUCGGGAACUGUGAGACAGGUGCUGCAUGGCUGUCGUCAGCUCGUGUUGUGAAAUGUUGGGUUAAGUCCCGCAACGAGCGCAACCCUUAUCCUUUGUUGCCAGCGGUUAGGCCGGGAACUCAAAGGAGACUGCCAGUGAUAAACUGGAGGAAGGUGGGGAUGACGUCAAGUCAUCAUGGCCCUUACGACCAGGGCUACACACGUGCUACAAUGGCAUAUACAAAGAGAAGCGACCUCGCGAGAGCAAGCGGACCUCAUAAAGUAUGUCGUAGUCCGGAUUGGAGUCUGCAACUCGACUCCAUGAAGUCGGAAUCGCUAGUAAUCGUAGAUCAGAAUGCUACGGUGAAUACGUUCCCGGGCCUUGUACACACCGCCCGUCACACCAUGGGAGUGGGUUGCAAAAGAAGUAGGUAGCUUAACCUUCGGGAGGGCGCUUACCACUUUGUGAUUCAUGACUGGGGUGAAGUCGUAACAAGGUAACCGUAGGGGAACCUGCGGUUG
rnacentral:rRNA from 1 species